AAAAACGACUCUCGGCAACGGAUAUCUCGGCUCACGCAUCGAUGAAGAACGUAGCAAAAUGCGAUACUUGGUGUGAAUUGCAGAAUCCCGUGAAUCAUCGAGUUUUUGAACGCAAGUUGCGCCCAAAACCAUCCGGUUGAGGGCACGCCUGCCUGGGCGUCACAC
rnacentral:rRNA from 2 species